UACGGAGGGUGCGAGCGUUGUCCGGAAUCACUGGGCGUAAAGGGCGCGUAGGCGGCGCGGGAAGGCGGCGGUGAAAGUCCGGGGCUCAACCCCGGAUCGGCCGUGGCGACUCCCGCGCUGGAGCACAGUAGAGGCAGGUGGAAUUCCGGGUGUAGCGGUGGAAUGCGUAGAGAUCCGGAAGAACACCGGUGGCGAAGGCGGCCUGCUGGGCAGUGGCUGACACUGAGGCGCGACAGCGUGGGGAGCAAACAGG
rnacentral:rRNA from 1 species